rnacentral:ncRNA from 1 species
CUUUGCAAUCGCGGGAGCUCGGAGCACCGGGCUGAGAGGGCGCUGACGCUGAAGCUGCGCCGACCGCUGAACCUGUUACCGGGUAAUGCCGGCGUAGGGAGUGGGUCUCAUGACUCA